AAUGGACGAAAGUCUGACGCAGCGACGCCGCGUGGGGGAUGAAGGUCUUCGGAUUGUAAACCCCUUUCGGGAGGGAAGAUGGAGUGGGUAACCACUUGGACGGUACCUCCAGAAGCAGCCACGGCUAACUUCGUGCCAGCAGCCGCGGUAAUACGGAGGGUGCAAGCGUUAUCCGGAAUCACUGGGUGUAAAGGGUGCGUAGGCGGGGNNUUGAGUCAGGGUGAAAGCCUGUAGCUUAACUACAGAAUUGCCAUUGAUACUGAUUGUCUUGAAUUGGGUUGAGGUUAGCGGAAUGUGACAUGUAACGGUGAAAUGUUUAGAUAUGUCAUGGAACACCGAUUGCGAAGGCAGCUAGCUGGGCCUUGAUUGACGCUGAGGCACGAAAGCGUGGGUAGCGAA
rnacentral:rRNA from 1 species